rnacentral:ncRNA from 1 species
AAAAGGUUUGGUCCUAGCCUUACUAUCAAUUGUAACCAAGCUUACACAUGCAAGUCUCAGCACCCCAGUGAAAAUGCCCUUCUUCCCCCACCCCGGGGAAAAGGAGCUGGUAUCAGGCUCAAAUUAUGCCCAAGACACCUUGCCAUGCCACACCCACAAGGGUACUCAGCAGUGAUAAAUAUUGAAUAUUAGUGUAAACUAGAUUCAGCUAUGGUUAAUAAGGCCGGUUAAUUUCGUGCCAGCCACCGCGGUUAUACGGAUUGGCCUAAAUUGAAAGUCGUCGGCGUAAAGCGUGAUUAAAGUACACAAUACUAGGGCUGAAUUGAAACUUGGCCGUGACACGCUUCCGCCUCAAAGAAGCUCAAAUGCGAAAGCUGCCCUAAUUUUCUUGAACUCACGACCGCUAAGUUACAAACUGGGAUUAGAUACCUCACUAUGCUUAGCCGUAAACUUUAAUACUUACAAUAAACAUUCGCCAGGGUACUACGAGCGUUAGCUUAAAACCCAAAGGACUUGGCGGUGCCCCAAACCCACCUAGAGGAGCCUGUUCUAUAAUCGAUACCCCCCGCUUUACCUCACCACUUCUUGUCAAUACCGCCUGUAUACCUCCGUCACCAACCUACCCCUUGAGGGAAAUAAAGUAAGUACAAUGAUAUCUUAUCUAAACGUCAGGUCAAGGUGCAGCGUAUGAAGUGGAAAGAAAUGGGCUACAUUUUCUACAUUAGACUACACGAAAGAUUACUAUGAAAUCUAAUCUGAAGGCGGAUUUAACAGUAAAGAGAAACUAGAGUGUUCUCUUUAAACUGGCCCUGGGGCGCGCACACACCGCCCGUCGCCCUCCUCAAUAACUAAUUAAUAAUUUUUAAUAAUAAACCUAAGAAUCAGAGGAGGUAAGUCGUAACAUGGUAAGUAUACCGGAAGGUAUGCUUGGAUUAA